rnacentral:rRNA from 1 species
AUGGAAGCAGUAACCUUGUCCGCCGUCUCCAUCGAGGCAGUAGUCGGGGCGACCAAUGACAACGAGGCGCAACGAAGGUCAAUCGCUCCGCCAGAUGCGCCCGAGGCCGCCGAUUGGUCUGGCCUGCUGCAGGACCUCCUGCUGGCCAUCAUGGCGGCGCUGGAUGUCCCCAGCCUCGUCCGUUCCGGCGCCGUCUGCACGUCCUGGCGGGACGCCUACAGCACCUUCCGCUUACCCGCGCUGAAGCAAGCGCCGUGCCUGCUCUACGCCUGCGACGAGUACGGGCCCAAGGAGGCCGCCCUGUACUGCCCCUCCACCAACACCACCUUCCGCGUCCCCUUCCCCGGCCCGCCGCACGAGAAGCGGGGCUUCGUCUUCUCGUGCCACGGCUGGGUGUUCGCUGCCGAUGAGGUCGGCGACCCGUACCUCUUCAACCCCACCACCGGCGUCCAGGCCGCGCUCCCGCCGGUCAAGACGCUCUCGGGCCGCGACGAGGACUUCUACGACGAUGAAGGCAAGAAUGUCCUCACCCUCGAGGGUGUCGACGAGAAUGGAGACCCGAGAACCGACAUCCUCUGGGCACGAGAUAUUGAGUAUAUCCGGGUCGCCAUCUCCUCCGCAGCCGAGGUGACUGCAUGCACUGUCCUGAUCAUGCACAAUCCAGAUUCGAUGCUCUCGUUUGGCAAGCCGGGCGAUAAGCGGUGGACAUUGCUCCCCAACCUUCAAACACGUCAAACCGGUGGUGUCAGUGAUGUUCUUAACAACGAUAAGGACGGCCUGUUCUACGUUCUACAUAAUACUGCAUCCAUCAGUGUUGUGGAUCUCAAUGGGCCUCAGCCGAGGCUGACCAUGACUCCUGCAGACAUUGUGCCGUAUGUGAUCGAUGAUCGUAUUGAAUUGGCAAAUAAACAUGGCGGUGACAGGCUUAGUGAAACUGUCAUUGAUGACCAACAACACAUUGACGGUAAGGAGCAGCGUGAUAACGAGGUCAAGACGACAGAGAUCCUAGUCUUCAAGGUUGACAUGGAUAGGCGAAAACUGGUAGAGCUUCAGGACAUUGGAGAUUGCGCAAUCUUCCUUGGGUUCAAUGCCACUGUGUGCCUUUUGACCAAGGACACAACAUUGGAACCAAACUGCAUCUAUCUCACGGACGAUUUUCACCAUCCAUCAUGUCAGCCAAUGUUGCGGAAAGAUCUUGGUAUCUGGAACAUCAAGAAAAGGAUUAUGCAGAAGCUUGACGAUGUGUGGCCAAUCAUGCAUUCUUGGCUAGAUUUACCGACUCCAAUUUGGAUCACACCAAGUUUAGCGUCGCCGGUGUGCUUGGCGCCGCCUAUUGCCGGGAGGGCGGCGACCACGGCACGCCGUGCGAGGAGGACCCAAUGCCGGUGUGAACUCGUGAGUGGGGUCCACCCGGGGGCCGCCGGGGGCUUAGGAUGGCCGCCGAUCGGACUCCCGACAAUGGCUGCGGACCGGGAGGGGGCGGUGGUUUUCAAUUAUUAUCUUUGGGAUUGCGUGAUGACGAUUGCACAUAUGUUCGUGUGUUGCAACGGAUAA